GGUUAAGCGACUAAGCGUACACGGUGGAUGCCCUGGCAGUCAGAGGCGAUGAAGGACGUGCUAAUCUGCGAAAAGCGUCGGUAAGGUGAUAUGAACCGUUACAGCCGGCGAUGUCCGAAUGGGGAAACCCAGUGUGAUUCGUCACACUAUCGUUAACUGAAUACAUAGGUUAACGAGGCGAACCGGGGGAACUGAAACAUCUAAGUACCCCGAGGAAAAGAAAUCAACCGAGAUUCCCCCAGUAGCGGCGAGCGAACGGGGAGCAGCCCAGAGUCUGAAUCAGCUUGUGUGUUAGUGGAACGGUCUGGAAAGUCCGACGGUACAGGGUGAUAGUCCCGUACACCAAAAUGCACAGGCUGUGAACUCGAAGAGUAGGGCGGGACACGUGGUAUCCUGUCUGAAUAUGGGGGGACCAUCCUCCAAGGCUAAAUACUCCUGACUGACCGAUAGUGAACCAGUACCGUGAGGGAAAGGCGAAAAGAACCCCGGCGAGGGGAGUGAAAAAGAACCUGAAACCGUGUACGUACAAGCAGUGGGAGCACCUUCGGGUGUGACUGCGUACCUUUUGUAUAAUGGGUCAGCGACUUAUAUUCUGUAGCAAGGUUAACCGUAUAGGGGAGCCGCAGGGAAACCGAGUCUUAACUGGGCGUUAAGUUGCAGGGUAUAGACCCGAAACCCGGUGAUCUAGCCAUGGGCAGGUUGAAGGUUGGGUAACACUAACUGGAGGACCGAACCGACUAAUGUUGAAAAAUUAGCGGAUGACUUGUGGCUGGGGGUGAAAGGCCAAUCAAACCGGGAGAUAGCUGGUUCUCCCCGAAAGCUAUUUAGGUAGCGCCUCGUGAAUUCAUCUUCGGGGGUAGAGCACUGUUUCGGCUAGGGGGUCAUCCCGACUUACCAACCCGAUGCAAACUACGAAUACCGAAGAAUGUUAUCACGGGAGACACACGGCGGGUGCUAACGUCCGUCGUGAAGAGGGAAACAACCCAGACCGCCAGCUAAGGUCCCAAAGUCAUGGUUAAGUGGGAAACGAUGUGGGAAGGCACAGACAGCCAGGAUGUUGGCUUAGAAGCAGCCAUCAUUUAAAGAAAGCGUAAUAGCUCACUGGUCGAGUCGGCCUGCGCGGAAGAUGUAACGGGGCUAAACCAUGCACCGAAGCUGCGGCAGCGACACUAUGUGUUGUUGGGUAGGGGAGCGUUCUGUAAGCCUGCGAAGGUGUGCUGUGAGGCAUGCUGGAGGUAUCAGAAGUGCGAAUGCUGACAUAAGUAACGAUAAAGCGGGUGAAAAGCCCGCUCGCCGGAAGACCAAGGGUUCCUGUCCAACGUUAAUCGGGGCAGGGUGAGUCGACCCCUAAGGCGAGGCCGAAAGGCGUAGUCGAUGGGAAACAGGUUAAUAUUCCUGUACUUGGUGUUACUGCGAAGGGGGGACGGAGAAGGCUAUGUUAGCCGGGCGACGGUUGUCCCGGUUUAAGCAUGUAGGCUGAUUAUCCAGGCAAAUCCGGAUAAUCAAGGCUGAGGUGUGAUGACGAGGCACUACGGUGCUGAAGUAACAAAUGCCCUGCUUCCAGGAAAAGCCUCUAAGCAUCAGGUAACAUCAAAUCGUACCCCAAACCGACACAGGUGGUCAGGUAGAGAAUACCAAGGCGCUUGAGAGAACUCGGGUGAAGGAACUAGGCAAAAUGGUGCCGUAACUUCGGGAGAAGGCACGCUGGUGUGUAGGUGAAGUCCCUGCGGAUGGAGCUGAGACCAGUCGAAGAUACCAGCUGGCUGCAACUGUUUAUUAAAAACACAGCACUGUGCAAACACGAAAGUGGACGUAUACGGUGUGACGCCUGCCCGGUGCCGGAAGGUUAAUUGAUGGGGUUAUCCGUAAGGAGAAGCUCUUGAUCGAAGCCCCGGUAAACGGCGGCCGUAACUAUAACGGUCCUAAGGUAGCGAAAUUCCUUGUCGGGUAAGUUCCGACCUGCACGAAUGGCGUAAUGAUGGCCAGGCUGUCUCCACCCGAGACUCAGUGAAAUUGAACUCGCUGUGAAGAUGCAGUGUACCCGCGGCAAGACGGAAAGACCCCGUGAACCUUUACUAUAGCUUGACACUGAACAUUGAGCCUUGAUGUGUAGGAUAGGUGGGAGGCUUUGAAGCGUGGACGCCAGUCUGCGUGGAGCCAACCUUGAAAUACCACCCUUUAAUGUUUGAUGUUCUAACGUUGGCCCCUGACCGGGGUUGCGGACAGUGUCUGGUGGGUAGUUUGACUGGGGCGGUCUCCUCCCAAAGCGUAACGGAGGAGCACGAAGGUUAGCUAAUCCUGGUCGGACAUCAGGAGGUUAGUGCAAUGGCAUAAGCUAGCUUGACUGCGAGCGUGACGGCGCGAGCAGGUGCGAAAGCAGGUCAUAGUGAUCCGGUGGUUCUGAAUGGAAGGGCCAUCGCUCAACGGAUAAAAGGUACUCCGGGGAUAACAGGCUGAUACCGCCCAAGAGUUCAUAUCGACGGCGGUGUUUGGCACCUCGAUGUCGGCUCAUCACAUCCUGGGGCUGAAGUAGGUCCCAAGGGUAUGGCUGUUCGCCAUUUAAAGUGGUACGCGAGCUGGGUUUAGAACGUCGUGAGACAGUUCGGUCCCUAUCUGCCGUGGGCGCUGGAGAAUUGAGGGGGGCUGCUCCUAGUACGAGAGGACCGGAGUGGACGCAUCACUGGUGUUCGGGUUGUCAUGCCAAUGGCACUGCCCGGUAGCUAAAUGCGGAAGAGAUAAGUGCUGAAAGCAUCUAAGCACGAAACUUGCCCCGAGAUGAGUUCUCCCUGAGACUUUAAGUCUCCUGAAGGAACGUUAAAGACGAUGACGUUGAUAGGCCGGGUGUGUAAGCGCAGCGAUGCGUUGAGCUAACCGGUACUAAUGAACCGUGAGGCUUAACCUU
rnacentral:rRNA from 1 species